rnacentral:tRNA from 1 species
GCCUUCGUGGUGUAGUGGUCAGCACGCUCGACGCGUAACCGAGAGGUCCGUGGUUCGAUUCCCGACGAAUGCU